rnacentral:lncRNA from 1 species
AUGAGGACGGGCUCUGGCUGCCCGGCGGUCCUGCCUGUGGUAGGUUGGGUCGCGCCUGUGGGAAGAAGGAGGUGUGGGAUGGCAGUGGCUGCGCUGCCACCAGCAUCCCUUGUGGUGCCGGCACACCCAGCCCCACCUCAGCGCCAGGUCCUUGGGGCAAAGAGGUGCCUGGCCCAUGCGAGUCGCAGCCAUCCCAGGCCUCAGUUCUGCCCCGGGGAACCCCCCAGGGCAGGAGGACCUGGGCCUGAGCCGCGGAUGCUCAGGGCCUGGCCUUGCGCCCCGGUGCCGUGCCCCGCCGCCUGGCGCUCUCGCUGCUGUGUCGGCCCUCUCCCUCCCUCCCUGUCCCGCACCUGGCGGCGCUUUUGCACGCUCGGCAGCCCUUCGUCGGGCUGGGAGCGGGCCUUCGCCUCUUGCUCCUUCGACAUCUCUCUGUCCUCUCGCAGAGACAAAGAAACAGGCACCCAGGGCAGCUGCUGCCUCCUGACGGCGCUGCACUCCUGGGAGUGGGCACCACGGGGGCUCGGGCCCCACAAGGCACACCGUCACCAUGGGGACACUUGCCCUGUCACAAUGGUCUUGUGGCCUGACGCCGCCCCAUGUCACAAAGCCCUGGUGCUUGCUGUGGAGCCACCUUGCUCCCGGCAGCCUCCCGCCGAGACACUGGCUCACAGCAGUGUGGGGGUCAGGAGGCACCUCUGGGCUCCCCUAGUCCAGGCCCGCUCCGUCAUCUUGGCGGUCCUCUGCCGGACAUUUUCCCAGCGGCGCCAUCACCAUCCCUCACGGGCUCACUCUUGCCUGCACUGGGGCUGUUGGAAGUGCCUGGAACCAUGCCGUGUCUGGCACGGGGCAGCCCCUCAUCUCCUCUCACAGAGGCCACCCUGUGGCCUCCCUGUUGACAAGCCCUUGCCAAAUGCACCCCGUCCAAGCGAAUGCUCCAGGCCUCAGCCCUUUCUUCCUUUGGCAGCUCUCCAUGCUCUCAUUCAGGGCUUCAGCCAGCAUGGCUUCCUGAAGGCAAAUGGUGCCUAA